rnacentral:rRNA from 1 species
GCGCCUUAUGCAUGCAAGUCGAGCGAAGCUUUUCAGUAGUUUACUACAGAAAAUGACUGAGCGGCGAACGGGUGAGUAACGCGUGAGCAAUCUACCUUAGUUACAGGGAUAGCCCGAGGAAACUCGGAUUAAUACCUGAUAUUCUUUAAAUUUCGCAUGAGAUUAAAAGGAAAGGUCAGCCGAACUAAGAUGAGCUCGCGUUCUAUCAGCUAGUUGGUGAGGUAAAAGCUUACCAAGGCUACGACGGAUAGCUGGUCUGAGAGGACGAUCAGCCACACUGGGACUGAGACACGGCCCAGACUCCUACGGGAGGCUGCAGCAGGGAAUAUUGCGCAAUGAGCGAAAGCUUGACGCAGCGACACCGCGUGUGGGAUGACGGAUCUAGGUUUGUAAACCACUUUCAGGAGGGAAGAAAAUGACGGUACCUCCACAAGAAGCCCCGGCCAACUACG